rnacentral:rRNA from 1 species
GACGGGGGGGCAAGCGUUGUUCGGAAUUACUGGGCGUAAAGGGCUCGUAGGCGCCAACUAGUCGACGUGAAAUCCCUCGGCUUAACCGGGGAACUGCGUCUGAUACUGGAUGGCUUGAGAUUGGGAGAGGGAUGCGGAAUUCCAGGUGUAGCGGUGAAAUGCGUAGAUAUCUGGAGGAACACCGGUGGCGAAGGCGGCAUCCUGGACCAACACUGACGCUGAGGAGCGAAAGCCAGGGGAGCAAAGCGGG